rnacentral:rRNA from 1 species
GAUGAACGCUAGCGGGAGGCUUAACACAUGCAAGUCGGGGGGCAGCAUAGGGUAGCAAUGCUCUGAUGGCGACCGGCAAACGGGUGAGUAACGCGUAUGCAACCUACCCUGUACAGGGGGAUAACCCGGAGAAAUUCGGACUAAUAUCCCGUAAUAAUAUCCGGAGGCAUCUUUGGAUAUUUAAAGUUCCGACGGUACGGGAUGGGCAUGCGUAACAUUAACUGGUUGGUAAGGUAACGGCUUACCAAGGCUAUGAUGUUUAGGGGUCCUGAGAGGGUGGUCCCCCACACUGGUACUGAGACACGGACCAGACUCCUACGGGAGGCAGCAGUGAGGAAUAUUGGUCAAUGGGCGCAAGCCUGAACCAGCCAUCCCGCGUGCAGGAAGACGGCCCUAUGGGUUGUAAACUGCUUUUCCAGGGAGAGAAACUUACGCACGUGUUGCGUGACUGACGGUACCCUGGGAAUAAGCAUCGGCUAACUCCGUGCCAGCAGCCGCGGUAAUAGUCACGUC